rnacentral:rRNA from 1 species
AUUAAACGCUGGCGGCAUGCCUUACACAUGCAAGUCGAACGGCAGCACGGGGGCAACCUUGGUGGCGAGUGGCGAACGGGUGAGUAAAGCAUCGGAACGUGCCCUGGAGUGGGGGAUAACGUAGCGAAAGUUACGCUAAUACCGCAUAUUCUGUGAGCAGGAAAGCAGGGGAUCGCAAGACCUUGCGCUCUGGGAGCGGCCGAUGUCGGAUUAGCUAGUUGGUGGGUAAAGGCCUACCAAGGCGACGAUCCGUAGCGGGUCUGAGAGGAUGAUCCGCCACACUGGGACUGAGACACGGCCCAGACUCCUACGGGAGGCAGCAGUGGGGAAUUUUGGACAAUGGGCGAAAGCCUGAUCCAGCCAUGCCGCGUGAGUGAAGAAGGCCUCGG